rnacentral:rRNA from 1 species
UACGGAGGAUGCAAGCGUUAUCCGGAUUUAUUGGGUUUAAAGGGUGCGCAGGUUGUUUGAUAAGUCAGUGGUGAAAGUCUGUCGCUUAACGGUAGGAUUGCCAUUGAUACUGUUAGACUUGAAUAUGGAUGAGGUAGGCGGAAUGUGUAGUGUAGCGGUGAAAUGCAUAGAUAUUACACAGAACACCGAUUGCAAAGGCAGCUUACUAAUCCAUCAUUGACGCUGAGGCACGAAAGCGUGGGGAUCAAACA